CUGCCAAUCUUGACAGAAGCAGAGAAACUUUGAUAAGGUCCUAGCAGAGUGGAAGCAGAAGUAUGAGGAGAAAGCCAGGCUGAACUAGAAGCUGCUCAGAAAGAAGCUCGUUCUCUCAGCACUGAGCUUUUCAA